GGGAGGGCGACGGGUCGCCGCCUCCCUCGCCCACCGAAGCGGGGGGACGGGGCCUAGCGGGGCGGAACCGCCGCGCGAAGGCGGGUGAGCGGGGCCUCGGCGCGCUUCUUUCCGAAGAUGACACCAGUUACUCGACAAGAAGUGCUUGGCCUUUACCGCAAGAUAUUCAAAAUAGCCAAAAAAUGGCAAUCGGCAUCAGGACAGAUAGAAGAAACUAUUAAAGAGAAGGAGUACAUUAAAAAUGAAGCCAAAACACUAUUCCGAAAAAACAAAAAUGUAACAGAUCCAAAGUUGAUUAAGCAGUAUAUAGAAGAAUGUGAGGCAAGAAUAGAAAUUGGACUUCACUAUAACAUCCCGUACCCGCGACCUAUCCAUCUGCCUCCUAUGGGUCUUGCCCAUAAACAAGGCCGUACAUUGCGACACCAGGAAAAGUUAAGGAAGAUUUCUAAGCCAAUAUACCUGAAAUCCCAUGAUGAAGUUUCAUAACCCAUGAUUUAAGCUGUGAUAUGUAAUCACAUCAUUUAAGCUGUGGACUGCAAUCCAGGUGAUUUGUGUGCACAACUGUGAAUGAAGUUGUUUUGGUCACUUGCUCACAUAUUUCCUGAGACCAAAAAGCUCAUCAUAUGCAUUGCAUAUGAUGGGUAAGUGUUUUAAGAAUGAUUAUUGUUGCCCCAGCUUCCCUUUCAGCAGUGCCUCAGCAGCGACAGGUAAGCUGUUACCAGUCACUUGCAUGCAUAAGCUCAAAUCUAAAUAGAAAGAUCCUUUUGAGAGCAGUGACUGAAUUGAUCAAUCCAUAGGGAAGGAUCUAACAGCCAGGUCCAACCUCUUCGGCCUGCAUGCAAAGCACCUGUAAGAGGAGGCUUGUGACUGGUUUAUCUCUGAUGCCACAGUAACCUAUUAGUGAUCUGAAUUGUUGAUGUGAUAACAACAACAAUUAGAUGCAGCCAUUAAAAAAUACGGUAACUACCACAAUGUUUUUUUUAAAUAUGUAGUAAAUUUCAGUUAAUUUUCAUUAUAUGAUAAGUACAAAGUAUCUGUGUUACUCUUAUGAAGCCUAAGAAAAGACAAUUUUUUUAAAGGACCAAUUUUAAUUAAUCUUAGUUUAUUUAUAGAUCUUCUGAAACACAAUUCUCGUCUCAAAAAUUGUUGUCAAUUUGGAUAACUGCUGUAGCAUUCAUAAACAAGUUUUAUUUUUGCUAUAGGUGCCAAAUAUCAGUCUAAAUUGUUAAGAGUAGUUUCUUCCUACUAGUAAGUUGAAACACCUGCACAUCUCUGUUGCCUUUAUUAAAACAAAUAUCCAUUAAGUGUCCAGCCCUGACAUCUUUGCCCUAGUCACCAGGUAACAAUAAUGAUGCACCAAAUGCCUGCGUACUGUACUGUUAAUGAGGCAUCAAAUAUGGUACAUAUAGUACAUGAAGAUACUGUACUAGUUACCUAUGUAUAUCUUUGUGCAGAGCAGCACUCUACAACAUACCUGUAACACUUCUUGCUUACCUGUAUGUUACCAUUCUUAAAAGUUACUAUUUUAUGAAUAUCUGUAUAAAACAAACCAGUGGUUAAUAAAACAAUAAUGAACACUGUUUUCACCUAUAACUGCUAAGCACAGCACAACAGAAAUUCCUGUGACAAGAACCAUGUUUUAAUGAGUUGUAGCAGCAUCACUUAAUGAUUGUAGCAGGGUACUGGGAACUGCUGAAUUAUAGCUGCAUCUCUGACUUUGUGAGGCCUCGAGCAAGUGAUUAAAAUGCUGCAAUUUGGGCAACAACAAAAAAAAAUAAUACAAGACCCCAAAUUAGUGGAUGUUUAUGCAGUGGGUUUUUUUUUUAAAUGUUUGCCUUGAUCUUUGAGCUUCUCUUGUACUGUGUACACAACAAGUCUAAUGAUGCAUUUUUAGUACCUUCUUCGCAUGCUGUGGGGAUUAGUUAAUGACUGCACAGCUCUUUGAAGAUGUUCAGGCUAUUUUAUUUUUAAUUAAUGUUUGCAAGCUACUUUGGGCUUCUCUGAUGAAAGGGCUUAAACAAGUACAAAACUUCAGGUGGUUAUUAGUCCAACAUGCAAGAGGGCAAGACGAGGAAGUAAAAUGAGACUAUGGGAGAAAGGAAACAGGUCCGUUUAUCAGGCACCUGGGAUAUGUAGGUAAAUAAUACUGAAAUAAAAAAAAAGUUUAAAAAAAUAUGAGACAAGCAUACUGCUCUGCAAAAUGACAGGCUCCCAAUGCAUGUGCUGUCCAGAAGUUUUCCACAGAAAUUCUGAGGCACAUCUUCAAGGAGUGUCAGUUACUAUAGUUUUAUAAUACAGCUCUGGCAGUUCAUUCUAGCUGAGGAUUGGUUUUACAUGUUGACAACACACUAUUCUCAUCUCCUCCCUUUUUGCCAUACAUACUCUUGGGACACAGAAGUAGUAGGCAAAUCCACAGAGUCUUAUUUGCAAGAGUUGUGGAUUAGAUUCCCAUUAAAAUCAGCAGCAAAA